rnacentral:lncRNA from 1 species
GAGGAGCGGAGCGCGCGGGCUGCGCAGGCUGCGCAGGCGGGAGCCGGGGACGCGCAGCGCCGCCUCCGAGCCGCCCUUACCCGGAUCGCUCCGCCACCCGGCCCGAGAGUCCACCCGGCCUUGGGACGAACCGCGGGGGCCGGUGACUCACCCUCCUGCUGCACACAAAGCGCAGCUGCCACCUCCCGGAGCCAACGCCAUGCGGCCGCCCGGAUGCACUCGCCCAGCCUGGCAUCCGCGGUGCAUGGCAGCCACACGCCUCGCCAGGAGCUGGGGCUGCAUUCCAGAAACCCAGGAGCCGGGCCUUAUGGCCGUUCCCCAGGCGCUCCACCCCAGCAGAAGACCCCUGCCUUCUCACGUGUGCACCCCUGAGAAACUUGUUAUUGACACAACUUACUCUACCAGGAAGGGUGGGGUGUGCCGCGCAGAGCCUGCCUUAGUAACAAAACACUCCCAGAGGAGUAAAAGAAGACAGCAUUUGAGUCACCUGAUCAGUUGGGCACCCAAUACCUCCACACACUACGAAGGUGUGGAAGACUGCGCUGUAUCCAGUAGCGACCAGUCAUAUCAGAACUCCAGCCCGAACUGCCCUGGAAGUCACUGCUAUACCCGGUCCUUGUCCAAUUCACUCUGAGUGGCAGUUGCAUUGAGUCUGAAGCAAACAUUGAAAACACUGUGAGGACUAACGGCUCCACAGCUAAGAGCACAGACUGUUCUUGCAGAAGACCAGAAUUCUGUUCACAGCUGCCGACAACUCCAGCUCCAAACGUUCUGACACCCUCUUCUGGCCUCCAAAGGCAUCCACACAUAUAUGCACCUACAUAUAUGUGCUCCCACACACAUGUGCACCUACAUAUAUGUGCUCCCCCGCACACGUGCACCCACAUACGUGGCACACACACUGCACACACACACAUCUUUUUUUUUUAAUUCUUUCAUUUGAACAUACAACAUAUUGUCAUUAAAUUGUGUGUAUGACCUUGUGUACACAUUUGUAAUUCUAGAUGUAAGUAUGGCCCUCAAACUGCUUACCACCUGGACAAAGAGGCUCCAGGUGCAUCAUGGCCUCAGCUGCUCUCAAAUCUGAAACCUGGCACAUCAGCAUCAUCUUGGCCCUUAAAGAACAUAUUUGGUGUCUUCCUCUUGCUUAUCUGCUCUGGACGUCAUCUUAAAAUGGUGGUUCAUCUUCUCGGCUCUUCAGACAAGCUGUAGAUUAG